CGUAGGGUGCGAGCGUUAUCCGGAAUUAUUGGGCGUAAAGAGCUCGUAGGCGGUUUGUCGCGUCUGUCGUGAAAGUCCCGGGGCGUUAACCCCGGACGUCUGCGGGUGGGUACGGGCGAGACUAGAGUGCAGUAGGGGAGGACGUGGAUUCCUGGUGUAGCGGUGGAAUGCGCAGAUAUCAGGAGGAACACCGAUGGCGAAGGCAGGUCUCUGGGCUGUAACUGACGCUGAGGAGCGAAAGACAUGGGGGAGGCGGAACAGGAUU
rnacentral:rRNA from 1 species